GGUUGGCCAAAAAGUUCGUUUGGGUUUUUCUGUAUCAUCUCAUGGAAAAACCUGAACAAAGUCUUGGGCCAACC
rnacentral:miRNA from 1 species